rnacentral:rRNA from 1 species
AUUGAACGCUGGCGGCAGGCUUAACACAUGCAAGUCGAGCGGGGUGAUGGUGCUUGCACUAUCACUUAGCGGCGGACGGGUGAGUAAUGCUUAGGAAUCUGCCUAUUAGUGGGGGACAACAUCUCGAAAGGGAUGCUAAUACCGCAUACGUCCUACGGGAGAAAGCAGGGGAUCACUUGUGACCUUGCGCUAAUAGAUGAGCCUAAGUCGGAUUAGCUAGUUGGUGGGGUAAAGGCCUACCAAGGCGACGAUCUGUAGCGGGUCUGAGAGGAUGAUCCGCCAAAAUGGGACUGAGACACGGCCCAGACUCCUACGGGAGGCAGCAGUGGGGAAUAUUGGACAAUGGGGGGACCCCUGAUCCAGCCAUGCCGCGUGUGUGAAGAAGGCCUUAUGGUUGUAAAGCACUUUAAGCGAGGAGGAGGCUCUUUUGGUUAAUACCCAAGAUGAGUGGACGUUACUCGCAGAAUAAGCACCGGCUAACUCUGUGCCAGCAGCCGCCGUAA